rnacentral:rRNA from 1 species
UACGAAGGGGGCUAGCGUUGUUCGGAAUCACUGGGCGUAAAGCGCACGUAGGCGGGUUCUUAAGUCAGGGGUGAAAUCCCGAGGCUCAACCUCGGAACUGCCUUUGAUACUGGGAAUCUUGAGUUCGGGAGAGGUGAGUGGAAUUGCGAGUGUAGAGGUGAAAUUCGUAGAUAUUCGCAAGAACACCAGUGGCGAAGGCGGCUCACUGGCCCGGAACUGACGCUGAGACGCGAAAGCGUGGGGAGCAAACAGG